rnacentral:rRNA from 1 species
GAUUCGUCACACUAUCAUUAACUGAAUCCAUAGGUUAAUGAGGCGAACCGGGGGAACUGAAACAUCUAAGUACCCCGAGGAAAAGAAAUCAACCGAGAUUCCCCCAGUAGCGGCGAGCGAACGGGGAGGAGCCCAGAGCCUGAAUCAGCAUGUGUGUUAGUGGAAGCGUCUGGAAAGGCGCGCGAUACAGGGUGACAGCCCCGUACACAAAAGCGCAUGUGCUGUGAGCUCGAUGAGUAGGGCGGGACACGUGGUAUCCUGUCUGAAUAUGGGGGGACCAUCCUCCAAGGCUAAAUACUCCUGACUGACCGAUAGUGAACCAGUACCGUGAGGGAAAGGCGAAAAGAACCCCGGCGAGGGGAGUGAAAAAGAACCUGAAACCGUGUACGUACAAGCAGUGGGAGCACAGGUUUACCUGUGUGACUGCGUACCUUUUGUAUAAUGGGUCAGCGACUUAUAUUCUGUAGCAAGGUUAACCGUAUAGGGGAGCCGUAGGGAAACCGAGUCUUAACCGGGCGUUAAGUUGCAGGGUAUAGACCCGAAACCCGGUGAUCUAGCCAUGGGCAGGUUGAAGGUUGGGUAACACUAACUGGAGGACCGAACCGACUAAUGUUGAAAAAUUAGCGGAUGACCUGUGGCUGGGGGUGAAAGGCCAAUCAAACCGGGAGAUAGCUGGUUCUCCCCGAAAGCUAUUUAGGUAGCGCCUCGUGAAUUCAUCUCCGGGGGUAGAGCACUGUUUCGGCUAGGGGGCCAUCCCGGCUUACCAACCCGAUGCAAACUGCGAAUACCGGAGAAUGUUAUCACGGGAGACACACGGCGGGUGCUAACGUCCGUCGUGAAGAGGGAAACAACCCAGACCGCCAGCUAAGGUCCCAAAGUCAUGGUUAAGUGGGAAACGAUGUGGGAAGGCCCAGACAGCCAGGAUGUUGGCUUAGAAGCAGCCAUCAUUUAAAGAAAGCGUAAUAGCUCACUGGUCGAGUCGGCCUGCGCGGAAGAUGUAACGGGGCUAAACCAU